AUAAUGAUAGUGUCUUCAAACCUAAUGGCAUGACUUCUAAGUUUUCACAUCCAUCAAGCCAUACCUUCUUCAAAUUUCUCAUGCCCUCAAAACUAGCAUAGAUAGCUUUCAAGUUCUUACAAUUUGUAAAACUAAAUUCUUGAAUAGAUGUGAGGUUGCUAAAUCCUUUGUGUAUCUCUUUCAACUCCAAGCAACCAUCUAAUAACAAUAUUUGUAAGGAUAGGAGUGCAUCAAAUGCAUCAUCAUCAAACUUCAUUUUUACACAAUUUUGAAGAUCUAAAUACUCUAAUGAUGAUAGUAUCUUCAAAUCUAAAGGCAUUUCUUCUAAGUUUUCACAUCCAUCAAGCCAUAUCUUCUUCAAAUUUGUCAUGCCCUCAAAACUAGCAUAGAUGGCUUUCAAGUUCUUACAAUUUGUAAAACUAAGUUCUUGAAUAGAUGUGAGGUUGCUAAAUCUUUCAUGCACCUCUUUCAAGUCCAAGCAACCAUCUAAUAAUAAUAUUUGUAAGGAUAGGAGUGCAUUAAAUGCAUCAUCAUCAAACUUCAUUUUUAUACAAUCUUGAAGAUCUAAAUACUUCAAUGAUGAUAGUGUCUUCAAACCUAAUGGCAUGUCUUCCAAGUUUUCACAUCCAUCAAGGCAUAUCUUCUUCAAAUUUUUCAUGCCCUCAAAACUAGCAUAGAUGGCUUUCAAGUUCUGACAAUUUACAAAACUAAGUUCUUGAAUAGAUGUGAGGUUGCUAAAUCCUUCAUGUACCUCUUUCAAGUCAAAGCAACCAUCUAAUAAUAAUAUUUGUAGGGAUAGGAGUGCAUCAAAUGCAUCAUCAUCAAACUUCAUAUUUGCACAAUCUUGAAGAUUUAAAUACUCCAAUGAUGAUAGUAUCUUUAAAUCCAAUGGCAUGACUUCUAAGUUUUUACAUCCGUCAAGCCAUAUCUUCUUCAAAUUUGUCAUACCCUCAAAACUAACAUGAAUGGCUUUCAAGUUCUUGCAAUUUGUAAAACUAAGUUCUUGAAUAGAUGUGAGGUUGCUAAAUCCUUCAUGCACCUCUUUCAACUCCAAGCAACCAUCUAAUAAUAAUAUUUGUAAAGAUAGGAGUGCAUCAAAUGCAUCAUCAUCAAACUUAAUUUUUAUACAAUUUUGAAGAUCUAAAUACUCCAAUGAUGAUAGUGUCUUCAAAUCUAAAAGCAUGUCUUCUAAGUGUUCACAUCCAUUAAGCCAUAUCUUCUUCAAAUUUGUCAUGCCCUCAAAACUAGCAUGGAUGGCUUUCAAGUUCUUGCAAUUUUUUAAACUAAGUUCUUGAAUAGAUGUGAGGUUCUUGAAUCCUUCAUGCACCUCUUUCAAGUCAAAGCAACCAUCUAAUAACAAUAUUUGUAGGGAUAGGAGUGCAUCAAAUGCAUCAUCAUCAAACUUCAUAUUUGUACAAUCUUGAAGAUUUAAAUACUCCAAUGAUGAUAGUGUCUUCAAACCUAAUGGCAUGUCUUCCAAGUUUUCACAUCCAUCAAGCCAUAUCUUCUUCAAAUUUGUCAUGCCCUCAAAACUAACAUGGAUGGCUUCCAAAUUCAUGCAAUUUGUAAAACUAAGUUUUUGAAUAGAUGUUAGAUUGCUAAAUCCUUUAUGCACCUCUUUCAACUCCAAGCAACCAUCUAAUAACAAUAUUUGUAAGGAUAGGAGUGCAUCAAAUGCACCAUUAUCAAACUUCAUUUUUGUACAAUUUUGAAGAUCUAAAUACUCUAAUGAUGAUAGUGUCAUCAAACCUAAUGGCAUGUCUUCUAAAUUUUCACAUCCAUCAAGCCAUACCUUCUUCAAAUUUGUCAUGCCCUCAAAAUUAGCAUGGAUGGCUUUUAAGUUCUUGCAAUUUGUAAAACUAAGUUCUUGAAUAGAUGUAAGGUUGCUGAAUCCUUCAUGCAUCUCUUUUAAGUCCAAGCAACCAUCUAAUACUAAUAUUUGUAAGGAUAAGAGUGCAUCAAAUGCAUCAUCAUCGAACUUCAUUUUUGUACAAUUUUGAAGAUUUAAAUACUCUAAUGAUAAUAGUGCCUUCAAAUUGAAUAGCGUGUCUUCUAAGUUUUCACAUCCAUUAAGCCAUAUCUUUUUCAAAUUUGUCAUGCCCUCAAAACUAGCAUAGAUGGCUUUCAAGUUCUUGCAAUGUUUAAAACUAAGUUCUUGAAUAGAUAUGAGGUUGCUAAAUCCUUCAUGUACCUCUUUCAACUCCAAGCAACCAUCUAAUAACAAUAUUUGUAAGGAUAGGAGUGCAUCAAAUGCAUCAUCAUCAAACUUCAUUUUUGCACAAUUUUGA
rnacentral:lncRNA from 1 species